rnacentral:rRNA from 1 species
GACGAACGCUGGCGGCGUGCCUAACACAUGCAAGUCGAACGGAAAGGUCCUGCUCUUGCGGGGUGCUCGAGUGGCGAACGGGUGAGAAACACGCGAGUAACACGUCCCUGUCAUUGGGAUAACUCCUGGAAACUGGGGCUCAUAUCGGAUAGGAGAUCUUGAAGCACGGUGGGGGUUGGUAAGUUUCGGCGGUUGGGGCUGGUCUCGCGGCGUAUCAGCCUGUUGGUGGGGUAGUGGCUUACCAAGGCUUUGACGGGUAGCCGGCCUGAGAGGGUGACCGGCCACAUUGGGACUGAGGUACGGCCCAGACUGCUACGGGAGGCAGCAGGGGGAAAUAUUGCACGAUGGGCGGAAGCCUGAUGCAGCAGCGCCGCGUGCGGGAUGACGGCCUUCGGGUUGAAAACCGCUUGCGCAUGUAACGAAGCGUGAGUGACGGUAAUGGGUAAAGAAGCACCGGCUAACUACGGG